GAGCACGUAGGUGGGUUUGUAAGUCAGAUGUGAAAGCCUUCUGUUCAACGGAAGAAUUGCAUCUGAAACUAUAGAUCUUGAGUAUAGGAGGGGAGAAUGGAACUUCUGGUGGAGCGGUGAAAUGCGUAGAUAUCAGAAGGAACGCCGGCGGCGAAAGUGGUUCUCUGGCCUAUUACUGACACUCAGUGUGCGAAAGCUAGGGGAGCAAACGGGAUUAGAUACCCCGGUAGUCCUAGCCGUAAACGAUGGGCACUAAGUAGAGGGGUUUU
rnacentral:rRNA from 1 species